AAUAAAUUAAUCUUUCACUUUUUACCUAUAAUGUUUGACUCUUCGUCUUAUUUGAAAAAAAUUUGAUUAAUAUUUUUAUUUUUAUUAGAUGAUAAAUCAUGAAUAGUACUUUACGUAUGACUAACUUUUUUUAUAAUUUUUAAAAUUUUUUUAAAUAAAAUGAAUGGAUAAAUGCUGAACACGAAAACUAAAGAAUUGGUUUUCU
rnacentral:pre_miRNA from 1 species